GAUGAACGCUGGCGGCGUGCCUAAUACAUGCGAGUCGAGCGAACAGACGAGGAGCUUGCUCCUCUGACGUUAGCGGCGGACGGGUGAGUAACACGUGGAUAACCUACCUAUAAGACUGGGAUAACUUCGGGAAACCGGAGCUAAUACCGGAUAAUAUAUUGAACCGCAUGGUUCAAUAGUGAAAGACGGUUUUGCUGUCACUUAUAGAUGGAUCCGCGCCGCAUUAGCUAGUUGGUAAGGUAACGGCUUACCAAGGCAACGAUGCGUAGCCGACCUGAGAGGGGGAUCGGCCACACGGGAACUGAGACACGGUCCAGACUCCUACGGGAGGCAGCAGUAGGGAAUCUUCCGCAAUGGGCGAAAGCCUGACGGAGCAACGCCGCGUGAGUGAUGAAGGUCUUCGGAUCGUAAAACUCUGUUAUUAGGGAAGAACAAAUGUGUAAGUAACUAUGCACGUCUUGACGGUACCUAAUCAGAAAGCCACGGCUAACUACGUG
rnacentral:rRNA from 1 species